UACAGGGGGGGCAAGCGUUGUUCGGAAUUACUGGGCGUAAAGGGUUCGUAGGUGGCCACUUAAGUCAGACGUGAAAUCCCUCGGCUUAACCGGGGAACUGCGUCUGAUACUGGAUGGCUUGAGAUUGGGAGAGGGAUGCGGAAUUCCAGGUGUAGCGGUGAAAUGCGUAGAUAUCUGGAGGAACACCGGUGGCGAAGGCGGCAUCCUGGACCAACACUGACGCUGAGGAGCGAAAGCCAGGGGAGCAAACGGG
rnacentral:rRNA from 1 species